rnacentral:tRNA from 1 species
GGCUUAAACCUCUGGCGACAAAGGCCAAAUCAGCUUUCCUCCCAUAUGCCUUCUAAGCAGGUUGUCGCAGGUUCGAUUCCUGCAGGGGUCGCCA